rnacentral:rRNA from 1 species
UUGCCUCAGUAACGGCGAGUGAAGCGGCAACAGCUCAAAUUUGAAAUCUGGUCCUUUCAGGUCCCGAAUUGUAAUUUGUAGAGGAUGCUUCGGCUUACGCCCCGGUCUAAGUUCCUUGGAACAGGACGUCACAGAGGGUGAGAACCCCGUUUGUGGCCGGCGGCUUCCGCCAUGUGAAGCUCCUUCGACGAGUCGAGUUGUUUGGGAAUGCAGCUCUAAAUGGGAGGUAAAUUUCUUCUAAAGCUAAAUACCGGCCAGAGACCGAUAGCGCACAAGUAGAGUGAUCGAAAGAUGAAAAGCACUUUGGAAAGAGAGUUAAAAAGUACGUGAAAUUGUUGAAAGGGAAGCGCUUGCGACCAGACUUGCCCGCGGAUGCUCAGCCGGUCUUUCGGCCGGUGUACUCUUCCGCGGUCAGGCCAGCAUCAGUUCGGGCGGUCGGAUAAAGGCCUUGGGAAUGUAGCUCCCUUCGGGGAGUGUUAUAGCCCUCGGUACAAUACGGCCUGCCUGGACUGAGGAACGCGCUUCGGCCAGGAUGCUGGCGUAAUGGUCGUAAGCGGCCCGUCUUGAAACACGGACCAAGGAGUCUAACAUCUAUGCGAGUGUUUGGGUGUCAAACCCGUGCGCGAAAUGAAAGUGAACGGAGGUGGGAGCCCUCGGGUGCACCAUCGACCGAUCCUGAUGUCUUCGGAUGGAUUUGAGUAAGAGCAUAGCUGUUGGGACCCGAAAGAUGGUGAACUAUGCCUGAAUAGGGUGAAGCCAGAGGAAACUCUGGUGGAGGCUCGCAGCGGUUCUGACGUGCAAAUCGAUCGUCAAAUUUGGGUAUAGGGGCGAAAGACUAAUCGA